ensembl:lncRNA
AUGAGGGAGCAGCUGCAGGACACACCCAAGAAGCCUCCUGGAGGACUCGGGGGGCAUUUACGGCUGGAGGCUUCAUCUAUGGCUGGCGUUUUCAUCUAUGGCUGGCGGCUUCAUCUAUGGCUGGCGUUUUCAUCUAUGGCUGCGGGCUUUAUCCAUGGGCUGGAGACUUUAUCCACUACUGGGGGCUUCAUCUAUGUCUGGGGGCUUCAUCUAUGGCUGCGGGCUUUAUCCAUGGGCUGGAGACUUUAUCCACUACUGGGGGCUUCAUCUAUGGCUGGGGGUUCAUCUACAGCUGGAGACUUCAUCUAUGGCUGGCGGCUUCAUCUAUGGCUGCGGGCUUUAUCCAUGGACUGUGGGCUUCAUUCACGGCUGGGGGCUUUAUCUAUGGGCUGGAGACUUUAUCCACCACUGGGGGCUUCAUCUAUGGCUGGGGGCUUCCUCCACGGGCUGGGGGGCCUCAUCCAUGGCUGGUUUGCCCGAUCUCUUUCGGAGCCACAGAAACAGAUUAUUAAACAGAUAAUUUUAUUGAGUUCCACUUUUAUAGUUUUUUAAAUACUUUUUGUUUCAAAAGUUUUGUUGAUAAUUGUAUGAAAUAACUAAACCUGAAUUACCCCUUUUAAUUAUUUCCUUGUGUCAAUAUAGAAAGAGUGGAUUUAAGGAAACACUGAGAUGCCCGUCUGUGUUUGUGAACAGGCGUGUUGGGUCUAAAGCCUUUCUCUGGUAGCUUUCCAGAAGAUCGCCCCACCUUACACUUGCUUUCUGCGGGUUCCAGAGGCUUCCAUUUGAAAGGAGCCUGUCUCCCUACUCUGCCUCACCCUACACCAGCUCACCUGCAAUCCACUAACUUUGUAAACACUUUCUUCCACCUUCACCUCAUUGAAUUCAGAACUUUGGAAAAUAAAAAUUCUAAAAACGUGGGAGUGGAUAUGAUCUGGAAAUACCUGCUGUAAUAUUUUUAACGGAAUCUACUGGAAACUAUUAGUUUAUGUUUUAAAUAAAACCAUCCCUUAGCAUUAGAAUAUCAAGCCAUUCAUUUUCUAGCAGAACUUUUAGAUACAAUUCAAAUACCAUAAAUUUCACCCCCAUACAGUGUACAAUUCAGUGGUUUCUAAUUAUUCACAGAGGUCUGCAAAAAUUACAAUUGAAUUUUAGAUAUUAAUAUCAUUUGUUGACAUCCUUACAUACAUACAGAUGUAGAUAUAUGUAAUUCUAACAUCUUGAAUAUUAUAUUUAACAUUGUACUAUAAUAUCUGUGUCUUUAUAUUGCUGUUUUAUUUUGUUAUUCUGAAUGACGAUCUCCAGGUACCCUUAUGCAGGUUUAAAAUACACCUUUUUACAACUCAAGAAAUUAAAUUGUUUCUAGUAAAUCACAUAAGAAACACAUAUGCUAUUGUUAUAAAAAUGCAAAUAUUGCUUAGGUCUGUAUAAUGAACUGUAUCACCGCCAGCGCCCAGCCCACUCAGUCAUCCACAUCCACUUACACACAGAUAGACAUGCCCAUGUUUUUACAUAACAUAAUCCUGCUUUGUGUGUUGUUCCCUGACUGGCUUUUCCACAUAAAAUAGAAUUUGGUGAUCAUUGCUUAUCUGUACAUAUAGGUCUCUCUCAUUCUUAUUUAUAGUUGCAUCAUUAUUCAACAGGGUAUUUUACCAUAAUUUGGUCAUUUUCACUGUGGAAUUUUUGUGUUGGAUUCAGUUAUUUGUUACCAUUACCUACACUAUCCUGGGCAUACCUGUAUAUUCAUCUUUUUGUACCUUAGUUAAGUGAGUUUUUUCUUUUAUGAUUGAUUUCUAAAAAACUGCUGAGGCAAAGUAAGAGUAUUGAAUAUUUUGAUAAACAAUUAAAAAUCUGUGUUUCAAAAAAAUGUAAUGAUCUUAUACUCCCAUCAUCAGUAAACGAGAGUUCCUAUUUCCACACACCCUUGAUUAAUUACAGAGGAAAUGACCAAUGCUAAUCUUGGCCAAUUUUGUAAGAAAUAUUUCCACUUUUAAUUUGGAUCUCUCCACUUACUGGAGAGAUUGUGCAUUUUUGUGUAUGUUUAUCGGCCAUUUGUAUUUCUCUCUGAUAAUUUCAUAAUGAUAUGUUUUACAAUUCAUGUAAUAUUUUUCAUAUAUUCUGUAAAUUUAUUUCAUAUAAUUAGCAAGUUUCUUAAGGUCUGUAUCAUAACUUUUGUUUGUAUUUGUCUUGAAGAAACUUUCAUUUUUACAUAGUCAAAUUGUUCAAUAUUUUCCCUAUCAUGUCUGGAUUUUGUGACUUGUUUUUAACAAUAUGUCCUUUUAGGGCUUUAUUGAUUUGUUUAAAGAACGCACUCAACUCCUACAUUAUUUAGUAAUUUACUUUCUCCCAUUACAGUACAUGGACAUCCCUAAUUCUAACUAAUGUAGAUCAAAUGUAUCAUUUGAAUUUCUGUGUAGUAAUGCUCAUUAUAGGUAUGUUCUGAUUUCUUUAACUCUUCCCUAUAAGAUGGAUAUUAAGGUUGUUUUUAAAAAUUCCCACCACUAAUGACUUUUCAAUAAUCAUCAAUAUACAUGAAUUCCACUGAUGUUUUUGUUUAUAUUUCUUCUUUUCUGUAGUAUAGGAUUCUCAAAGUGGUAUAACUGACCUAUAAUACAUUUUAAUUAUAAUUUUAAUUAUACUGGCAGAUUACUUUCCAAAAAAUUGAUCAAUUAACACUCUUAUCAACUACAUAAGUAAGUCUCUAUGUAGGCUAAAUAACACUAUAAUUUUUUAAAAAUAAAAAUCCUAAUUUGGUGAAAAAUCC